CAGUAGCCGCGGUAAUACGUAGGUGGCGAGCGUUGUCCGGAUUUAUUGGGCGUAAAGGGAGUGUAGGCGGUCUUUUAGGUCCGAUGUGAAAGCCCACGGCUCAACCGUGGAGGGUCAUUGGAAACUGGGAGACUUGAGUGCAGAAGAGGAGAGCGGAAUUCCAUGUGUGGCGGUGAAAUGCGUAGAUAUAUGGAGGAACACCAGUGGCGAAGGCGGCUCUCUGGUCUGUAACUGACGCUGAGGCUCGAAAGCGUGGGGAGCAAACAGGAUUAGAUACCCCGGUAGUCCCUGUCUCUUAUAC
rnacentral:rRNA from 1 species